CUCUUAAUGCUAUAUUUUAAGUGUGCUCUGCCCCAUGUUUUUAAAUGGCCGCUUUUGUGCUAAGGUAGCAAAAUAAAUAGGCUAUUAAUUGUAGUCGAGUAUGAAUGAGUGAAUGGGGGGAAGCUAUCUUGUCCUGUAGUUAAAACUUAAUGAAGAUGUGAAAAUUCAUCUAUUAAAAAAAAAGACGAAAAGACCCUGGGAAUUAUUAUAUGUAUGUUUGUUGGGGCAACAUUCUAAACAAGAUUAUUACAAAAAGUGUAACAAAAGGGGUAAUUACCCCAGGGAUAACAGCAUAAUAAUUUUUUUUGUUUAUGACCUCGAUGUUGGACUAAAAAAUUUAUAGACUAACAGUUUAUUUUUAAGCUCUGUUCGAGCAUUAUAUUUUU
rnacentral:rRNA from 1 species